ACAACGAAGAGUUUGAUCCUGGCUCAGGAUGAACGCUAGCGGCAGGCUUAACACAUGCAAGUUGCGGGGCAGCACGUCUUCGGAUGGUGGCG
rnacentral:rRNA from 1 species